rnacentral:rRNA from 1 species
CAGUCGCCGCGGUAAUACAGAGGGUGCAAGCGUUAAUCGGAAUUACUGGGCGUAAAGCGCGCGUAGGUGGUUUGUUAAGUUGGAUGUGAAAGCCCCGGGCUCAACCUGGGAACUGCAUCCAAAACUGGCAAGCUAGAGUACGGUAGAGGGUGGUGGAGUUUCCUGUGUAGCGGUGAAAUGCGUAGAUAUAGGAAGGAACACCAGUGGCGAAGGCGACCACCUGGACUGAUACUGACACUGAGGUGCGAAAGCGUGGGGAGCAAACAGGAUUAGAUACCCCCGUAGUCCCUGUCUCUUAUAC